GAUGAACGCUGGCGGCGUGCCUAAUACAUGCAAGUCGAGCGAACGGACGAGAAGCUUGCUUCUCUGAUGUUAGCGGCGGACGGGUGAGUAACACGUGGAUAACCUACCUAUAAGACUGGGAUAACUUCGGGAAACCGGAGCUAAUACCGGAUAAUAUUUUGAACCGCAUGGUUCAAAAGUGAAAGACGGUCUUGCUGUCACUUAUAGAUGGAUCCGCGCUGCAUUAGCUAGUUGGUAAGGUAACGGCUUACCAAGGCAACGAUGCAUAGCCGACCUGAGAGGGGGAUCGGCCACCUGGGAACUGAGACACGGUCCAGACUCCUACGGGAGGCAGCAGUAGGGAAUCUGCCGCAAUGGGCGAAAGCCUGACGGAGCAACGCCGCGUGAGUGAUGAAGGUCUUCGGAUCGUAAAACUCUGUUAUGAGGGAAGAACAUAUGUGUAAGUAACUGUGCACAUCUUGACGGUACCUAAUCAGAAAGCCACGGCUAACUACGUG
rnacentral:rRNA from 1 species